rnacentral:tRNA from 1 species
GCCGACUUAGCUCAGUUGGUAGAGCACCUGAUUUGUAAUCAGGGGGUCGCGGGUUCGAUCCCUGCAGCCGGCACCA